UACGUAGGUGGCAAGCGUUGUCCGGAUUUACUGGGCGUAAAGAGCGCGCAGGCGGUCGUUCAAGUCGCGUGUGAAAGCCCCCCGGCUCAACUGGGGAGGGUCACGCGAUACUGAUCGACUCGAAGGCAGGAGAGGGAAGUGGAAUUCCCGGUGUAGUGGUGAAAUGCGUAGAUAUCGGAGGAACACCAGUGGCGAAGGCGACUUCCUGGCCUGUUCUUGACGCUGAGGCGCGAAAGCUAGGGGGAGCAAACGGGG
rnacentral:rRNA from 1 species